GCUUUUGGUUCAGUGGUAGAAUGCUCGCCUGCCACGCGGGCGCCCAGGGUUCGAUUCCCGGCCGAAGCA
rnacentral:tRNA from 1 species